CGGGAUGUAGCUCAGCCUGGCAGAGCGCUGCAUUGUAAAUGCGGAGGUCACAUGGUUCGAAUCCUGUCAUCCCGAC
rnacentral:tRNA from 15 species